GGCUUGGUAGCUUAGUUGUAAAAGCAUUUGUUUAGCAAAUAAGAGUCGUGAGUUCAAAUCUCACCUGAGCUG
rfam:Aedes albopictus isolate Foshan contig14225, whole genome shotgun sequence.